GACUUACUUUUGAGGAAAUCUUGCUUCAUGGCUUAAAUUCUCACUAACUACAUGGAAUAUUCAACAGGCAGCCAUUUCUUUUGCAGAAAGUUGGCCCAAAAAGGUUAAAAAUAACACUCUCGGUCCCCAGUGAGUAGGUCACCCAGGUUUGGGAAAGUGGCCACCCCUCCCAGGCUCAGUGCUCUGCCCCUCAGCCUCCAGGAGGCGCUCUCCCACACAUGGAUCCAGUCCCUUCUUUCACAUCCUUGUUUCAGAACCUUCAAGGACUGACUGCCCGUUCCUCGUGGGACACACCACUUGUUUCACACGACUUACCGGGAUAUCUUUUGGAUCUGGCCCUAAGUGCACCGCCAGCCUCACCUGCUGGACUCCCAGGCACCAUGCUGCAUCCCAGACAUCCUGGGUUCCUAUGUCCACCUCGCCUACUCUUCACCUUGUCCUCCAAUACUGUAGGAAAAUGAGCCUCCUAGAAAGAAGUGGACACAGGCUGAAGCCAGGAGGAGCCUGAGCCCCUCAAAGUCCCCCAGAGCAGGUCCCAAGGAGCUGGGAGACCAUCAACGAACUGAGCGCUGCACUUCCGUCCAGGAAAUGCACGGCAGGGGGAAACUAAAGAUUUCCCAAGAGGUCAAAAGGAAAUUAGCCAUGAUAAAUUAAGAUGGUUGAUGUUUAGGAACAUAUUUAACUUGUGCUUAAGUGUUUUCUGCAAACGCUUAUAGCUAUAAUUUUCUUGCCUUUGAUCACUUUCUUAAUUCUCCCAGACAUUUCAUAUAGGGCAUUGUUCUUCGAAAUAGCAGCACAAUUUAAGAAACAUACACCUAUAGAAAAAUAAGAGGUGAUUUUUGGAGUGUGUGGGGAAGCUGGAACUGUUAUUUUCUAAGCCUUACCAUUGGGCUAGGGCAGCCAGAAAAAGGUACCACAGCAUACAGAGGCAGCCGCGAGACUUACAGCAAAGGUACUAGGAGAAAUUAAUCAGGUUUUGGAAUCAAUUUUUGUUUUAAGAGUUCAUGUAGAUUCAAAUGUCAAAUUGAACCAAAAUAUUUAUAACAAAAUAUGAUUCGCUAUUCU
rnacentral:lncRNA from 1 species